UUUGUAAAGCUUGUGAGCUCAGCAGAUUAUGAUGAAAGCCCUCAGGAUUUAAUAUACAACAAAGGCUUAACAAGACAAAGACAUGCCUCCUGUACAUGGUCACUUUAUUAAAAAUAAGCUGACUGCUCAGGAGGAGGAGGCAGGCAGCUGGGAUUGAUCUCAGCUGGUCUGCGGAUCCAAUUCCUCCCCCGUUGCCAUGGUAACCUCUCAGUAAUUCUGCCAGGAAUUGGAGGAGGGGAUUGUAGAUACCUUUGGGGAAUAUCAGAACAUAAAGAUUCAGGGAGGAAGCAAACAGCAGCUCACCACAGUGCCACAACAAAAUGCAAAGAAAAAGACGUGACCAAAGCAACAUUGAGAGGAGAACCAUCUGAAAAACAAAGAACAAGCCACAGGCUAGUGGCUGCAUCUGGUAUGUGAGAGGAUGCUCUUCACCCUCUGCUGUCAUCACACUGUAGACACCAUGAACAGGCAGUGCUACACGCUGCACAGAGGGCAUUUUCCCUGCCCAUCACCGCAGUAUACUUCUAGCCGAGCACAGUGCUCUCACCCAUAGGUUUUUGAAAUCAUUGAGACAGCAGUGGCUCUUGCAGAGCAUGCAAAAAAGUAGGGGCAGCUCUGAUCCCCUUCAGUGCUUCUGGCUGCAGACCCUCUUCCUGCCCAGCCAGCGCCAGUGCUACCAUCUUCUGUCAACUUUACCCUGGCUCCAGCUGGAUAAAAUGGCUCCAUGAAAAAUUUCACACCAUGAGCCCUUAUGUAGAUUUACAAAGUGACCCGAUAUUCAGCACUGAACAUGUAGUGCCAAGAGAUGUUGUAUGCUUGCUCUGCACUUUCAAAACUCAGGACAUAAAAUAAUGGCUUAAGAAAAAACACCACAUUUUCAGCAGAACUGAAAAUGCAGAAGGAAUGAGACUAAUGUCCUCUGAGAGUACAAGAAGAUAGAAUGUGUCCUCAAACUGAAAGAAAUCAGACACACAAAUUAAUCAGUGUAGAAGCUUGCUGAAAGAAUAAACCUAAGUAUCAUUGUAUUGCCAUGAUUAAAAAUAGCAAAAGAUAAUGUAUCACUGAA